rnacentral:snRNA from 1 species
GCUUGGUUGAAAAGCCAGUG